UUGAUCAAAAAUAGAAGUAUAACUUUAUUUGUUUGCCAGUGUUUAACGCAGCUAAGUUCGCCGUUUCUGAGAACCUGUGGUGCUAGCAAGUUGAAGUCCACGUGGUGCCGCGGACCGCGCAGAUCAGCAAUCUGCUCCCCUGAUAGUGAAAAGUGUGGCAGCACUCCCCCUCAUUUGUUACCGUCUUUGGAUAAAGAGGAAGUUUGAAGUUUGAUUUUGUGCAACACAUUGGAUCAGACGUUCACUGUCCAACAUCCGCUUUUCAGUUAUAUGGCUGAGACUUAUCAACAAAGGAUGACUACCACCCAGAAGUACUUGCUCCGUGUUUAUGUGUCAACGGAUGUAGCCAUGAAGCUAACACUUACACAGCGCCCACAAUCUGUAGAAGAACUGAAGACCAUAAUGAGAAACAAGUUCAGACCAAGACUCGAUGGUGACUUUUCACUUCAUUAUGAGGACCCAGACUUUGAUGGGAUGCUAAGUUGUCUUGUAGACAUUGAUGAACUUCCAGAAAAGGGAACAUUGAAAGUGGUCCGCUCUGAGAGUGAUGACUCUUCAGUGGCCAGUUCAGACACUGAUAUCCUACCUCAUGUGCCAUUGCACCAGCGUCAAAAGCACUGGCUUAGCACUUUUAUUGUGCCUGUAUUUCCUAUGGAUGUUGAGUAUGUGCUUGAAGAAGGAAACAAAGUGUUUAGAGAUUCUGGAAAAACACUGAAAUUAACUAGGAACCAAAAGUCAAAUAUUUUAGACAAAAUGGCUGAAACGAUUUUUAGUUACAAAGCUUAUCCAAAUGACAGAGAGGUGGGCAAAGCAGCUGAGGCUUUAGUUACU